AGAGUCCUGGCUCAGCAAAUGAAAGUGAAAAAAAAGGGUCCUCUUGUCAGUCGAGGGAGGCCAGGGGGGCAUUUCCCUGCCUCGAGCGGGGGACUGGUGAGUAAUCGAUGGGUAACCUACCGGGGAGUGGGGAAUACCUCCGGGAAACUCGAGGUUCUACUGCAUGGCAUCUUUGGGACCAAAGUUCUGACUAUCAAAGCGGGGUCGAAGAUCUCGCGCUACCGGAUGGGCCCGCGCCCGAUUAGCUAGUUGGUGAGGUAAUGGCUCACCAAGGCUUCGAUCGGUAACCGGCCUGAGAGGGCGAUCGGUCACACCGGAACUGAGACACGGUCCGGACUCCUACGGGAGGCAGCAGUGGGGAAUCUUGCGCAAUGGGCGAAAGCCUGACGCAGCAACGCCGCGUGGAGGAUGAAGGCCCUUGGGUUGUAAACUCCCUGUCGGCUGGGAAGAAGUUGUUUCGCGGUUAAAUACCCCGCGGACAUUGACUGUACCAGCAAAGGGAAGCCCCCGGCUAACUCUGUGCCCAGCAGCCGCGGGUAAUACAGAGGGGGCCCAGCGUUAUUCGGAAUUAUUUGGGGCGUAAAGGGCGCGGUAGGCGGGCCAUGCGUGUCUUCCGUGAAUAUUUCCUUUCGAGCUCACUCGAGGGACGUGCGGAUGAAACUUGCCAAGGCUCGAGUUCCAAGAGAAGGGGAGGCGGGACUUCCACGUGUAGCCGGUGAAAUUGCGUAGAAUAUUGGGAAGGAACCACCGGUUGGCGAAAGGCCGUCCCCCCUGGGGUCUGGUUCCUUGACGCCUGUGAGGCGGCCGAAAAGCUGUGGGUGAGCAACGGGGAUAUAGAAUAUCCCCCGGGUAGUCACACCGCCCGUAAACCGAAUGGGGCACUCUUGGGUGUUCUGGCGAGGUAUUCCGACCCCCCUGGCGCGUGUGCGCCGAAGCUAUACCGCCAUAUUAGAUGGUGCUCCUCGCCUUUGGGGGAGAUACGCGUGUCGCCCAGAGAGGCUGUGUAAUACACUCAAAGGAAUUGACGGGGGCCGCACAAGCGGUGGAGCAUGUGGUUUAAUUCGAAGCAACGCGAAGAACCUUACCUGGGUUUGAAGGUGAGUGGAUCGGGGGCGAAAUCCCCCUUCCCCGCAAGGGGCCACUUGCUAGGUGCUGCAUGGCUGUCGUCAGCUCGUGUCGUGAGAUGUUGGGUUAAGUCCCGCAACGAGCGCAACCCCUGCUGCUAGUUGCCAACGGUUCGGCCGGGCACUCUAGUGGGACUGCCGGUGAUAAACCGGAGGAAGGUGGGGAUGACGUCAAGUCCUCAUGGCCUUUAUGUCCAGGGCUACACACGUGCUACAAUGGCCGAUACAAACCGUCGCGAGAGCGCAAGCUGGAGCAAAUCGGAUAAAGUCGGUCUCAGUUCGUGAUUGGGGUCUGCAACCCGACACCAUGAAGCUGGAAUCCAUAGUAAUCGCGGAUCAGCACGCCGCGGUGAAUACGUUCCCGGGCCUUGUACACACCGCCCGUCACAUCACGAAAGUCGGCUGUACCAGAAGUCGGUAAUGUGACUCGCAAGAGAGGAACCCCCUUAAGGUAUGGUCUUGUUUUUAGUCGAAGUCGUAACAAGGUAACC
rnacentral:rRNA from 1 species